rnacentral:rRNA from 1 species
GACAGAGGGUGCAAACGUUGUUCGGAAUUACUGGGCGUAAAGCGUGUGUAGGCGGCUCUGCAAGUCGGAUGUGAAAGCCCUGGGCUCAACCCAGGAAGUGCAUUCGAAACUGCAGAGCUGGAGUCCUGGAGAGGAAGGCGGAAUUCUCGGUGUAGAGGUGAAAUUCGUAGAUAUCGAGAGGAACACCGGUGGCGAAGGCGGCCUUCUGGACAGUGACUGACGCUGAGACACGAAAGCGUGGGGAGCAAACAGG